rnacentral:lncRNA from 1 species
GAUCUUCAUAUAAGGAAUGACCCAGAUGAUUAUAUAAAUCUACAUUUAAUUUUCAUUAGAAUUGUCCUAGGUAGUGCUUGAACUUUAAAUCCUGUAAAGUAGAAGCAAAUCUGUGUUUGCAAUAGAAAUUGCCAGAAGAAAGAACAAGGAAGACAUUUAGAUAAUUUCAUCUGGGUGUGCAAAGUCAUCACAAGAUCCAUCCUUCCAUUAUCUGGAAGUUGAGAGCCACCUGUUUUUCAUGACGGUCUGACGGUUGGAAUGAGAAGCUCACUGACAGCACCAGGGGCCUCCUAGAACUGGCUUCCAGUAAUUCUAGUUCUGAGCCA